rnacentral:misc_RNA from 1 species
GGUCUUUUUUUUUUUGUUGACUGUGAUGGGGACACUUCUUUUUGUCUUUGCUUUGUCUGGCAUCACUGAGGUGUGCCUGGGUGUGCCUCGGCUUGCCUGGUGCAGAUUUUAAAUAUUACCCAGCUGGAGUGUUUCUGGGUGCAGACCUUGGGGCCUCCUUUGCCCGGUGCCUCAGGUGCGCCUUUAAUAACUAUAAUGGUGUUAAAACAGAACAGUGCCCUUGGUGCUGAAGUAUAGAUCUUGAACUAAUUUUGCACUUGCAUGUGGGUAUGAAAGUUCUUAUUGGUGAUGACUGACUCCCUGUUUGGCCAUUAGCUUGGAAAGAGAUUAUCAUUUGAUCCUUCAGAGUAUUAGCAAUUUGUGGUUUUAAAAGGAGUAUAUAAUUAUAAUAUUGGACUGUUUGUCAAAUUGCAUUAGCAACUGGGAAAUUUUGCUAUAUAUUUGCUAGUUCAGGUUGACUGGUGAACUAGUAUGCAAAAUAGGUUCUGACUAGUCACGUCUCCCUUGCUCCUUUGGUGUUGUUCUCUCUCGUAUAAUUUUUGUGUGGUAUCUUAUAGUGGUUGCACACUGGUAUUGCUCCUAAAACUCACAUAAUUGAACUUUGAGAUUUUUCUUUUGAGAAGUAAAAUCCUAAUAUUCAGUUGUGCAAUUUAUCUCUAUUUUGACCUUUUUUUUAAAAUAAAUCAUAUUUCAUCUUUAGCUUUGUUUCUGUUCAUUUCAUUGUUGGUAAGCUAUAUUAAUUCUUACUCAUGAUUGGUAAGAUACGAAACUUUCAUCCAUGGAAACAUGGUUUCAACUUGUGGCAUUUUUUUUGUCCUUUCAUUAAUUGCUACGCAUGGAUCACUGAUGUCUGUUUACUAAUUGCUUCGCAGUGGCACUGCUGACAACUAAGAUCAAGCACCUAUCUUCAGUUCUUCACAAAAAGGUGAAAAUGGAGCUAAAUGAGCUCUCAUUUCUUACAUAAUUAUUUCAGUUUUACAUUUAGUGUAAAUGUCAAUCUUUUCCUUGAGUACCUAUUUUCUUCUCAUUCAGUAGGGUAAGGGUUGAGGUUAAAGUUUGUGGUUAUCAUUCCACUGAAAAGGGAAAAAUUGUUGAUAUUAGCUGUUAUAUUGACAUUCCAAAUAUUGGAUAUGAUGAUGUUUAUAUUAAAAAUGGAGAGGGUGUUACUAUGAUGGGCUUCAUGCACUUGGUGAAGUAGUGGCACUAACUGCUAUGCUUGGACUCAAAAGUUCCUGGUGAUUUAAAUGUUGUGAGAAAAAUGGUUCUCUUACUUGCAGUAUGGUCCUGAAAUUUGCUAAAAACUAUUGGACUGGUUGUUUCUCAAUGGCCUUUUGAUAGUGGUUACUAAUUGGAAUUUGGGUUGUCAUGGUAAUGCUGUUGGGUCGUGUCAUUGUGGUUGAAAUAUAAGGUGUUGCUAUUUUAACUUUCAGAGUCGCUUUGCUGCAGGAUAAACACUCUCGAAAGGGUCUUCUAGCAAUGGUACAAAGGAGAAAGAAGUUGUUGAAGUAUCUACGAAGAACCGACUGGGAUUCUUACUACAUUGUUCUCUCUAAACUUGGCCUCCGAGACAAUCCAGAUUACAAGAAUUAGAAUAGACUGGGCAGUAUGAUACAACCUCAUUGUUGUUUUUGUUUUCGAAUCAAGGUAGUUAAAUGUACUCAAUUUUUUUUUUAAUAAUUCUUGCAUAAUUGGAUAAUGCUCUGAUUAUUUUCCUUCCUUUUCCGAGCUGGUUCGUUGAAUUGUUCAAUAUUUUGAGGCUAAUACCCAAGAAAGAGGAAAUUGUCACAAGUGUUCUCAUAUCUUCAAUAAAAUAAAAUAAAAUAAUUAA